UAGGCGCGGCGGUACCGGCGGCACAGUUGGUAGAUCGCUCGGGGGCUACGCAUAUUCCGGGAGGGGCUACGCACUCUGUUGGGAUCAGGGGUUUAGGGGGAGAGGGAGCGAGUAUAAGCUGCUGGACCUUCUCCGGCUCGAGCGCCAGCAGCAGUAGCAGCAGCUAGGGCACCGGUGGCCGGAGGGAAGCAGCGCGAUUCUGCAGGUCCUCGAGGCGGUAGCAGCAGAGGCAGCGGUAGCGGAUAGCCAACCUCGAGCCUGCCGGACGACGGAACGGUAGCGCGCCAGAAGAGGACAGCCGGCGGGGGUGGUAGCGGCAGCUAGAGGUGGUGGCCGCGGAGGGCCGCCAAGGCUCGUGCAGGUGCUGGAGGGAGCGUUGGGGCACUACCGACGGCUACGGUGACACUAGCUGAUGCAGUGGCUGCUGGGGGAGGAAGAGCAGACUCGUUGGUCUACUGUCUAGGGUCCUCGGUCUGCUGCGGUGACUACUGAUGUCGAUGGGGCUGCCACGGAUGAUGAUGCACUGCUGGUGACUGCUGAACCUCAUCAAUCCUCCGAGGGUCCGUCCUCCGGAACGGAGAAGCUAGCUACAACGAAAACACGAUCGGAAGAAUUCCGUUUGAACAGAUUGAAUACAGACAUGAGUCUAUAACAACGAAGGCGACUGAGAACACAUAAGCUCGAAUACAUAAGCUCGGGAGCUCCGGGGACCGAAGAUUAUAUUUCGAAUAUUAUAAAAUUAAACACAGAUCUCAACACAACACUAUAGAAGGAACUCAGGGAC
rnacentral:rRNA from 1 species